rnacentral:rRNA from 1 species
GAGAAACUCCUUCGGGAGGUGGACAGCGGCGAAAGGGAGAGUAACGCGUGGACUACCUACCCUCGGGUCCGGGAUAGCUGCGGGAAACUGCAGGUAAUACCGGAUAACGUCUCCGGACCAAAGGUGAGAUUCCGCCCGGGGACGGGUCCGCGUCCUAUUAGCUUGUUGGUGGGGUGACGGCCUACCAAGGCUACGAUGGGUACCGGGUGUGAGAGCAUGACCCGGCUCACUGGGACUGAGACACUGCCCAGACACCUACGGGUGGCUGCAGUCGAGAAUCUUCGGCAAUGGACGCAAGUCUGACCGAGCGACGCCGCGUGCGGGAUGAAGGCCCUCGGGUUGUAAACCGCUGUCAGUUGGGAGGAAAUCUUGGGGGGUCAUCCCCUCGAGUUGACCUAUCUUCAGAGGAAGGACGGGCUAAGUUCGUGCCAGCAGCCGCGGUAACACGAACCGUCCUAACGUUAUUCGGAAUCACUGGGCUUAAAGGGUGCGUAGGCGGUCCUGCAAGUUGGGUGUGAAAUCCCUCGGCUCAACCGAGGAAGUGCGCCCAAAACUGCAGGACUAGAGGGAGACAGAGGUGAGUGGAACUUGCGGUGGAGCGGUGAAAUGCGUNGAUAUCGCAAGGAACACCAGUGGCGAAAGCGGCUCACUGGGUCUCUUCUGACGCUGAGGCACGAAAGCUAGGGGAGNGAACGGGAUUA